rnacentral:rRNA from 1 species
UACAGAGGGGGCAAGCGUUGUUCGGAAUUACUGGGCGUAAAGGGCGCGUAGGCGGCCUGCUAAGUCGAACGUGAAAUCCCCGAGCUCAACUCGGGAACUGCGUCCGAUACUGGCAGGCUUGAAUCCGGGAGAGGGAUGCGGAAUUCCUGGUGUAGCGGUGAAAUGCGUAGAUAUCUGGAGGAACACCGGUGGCGAAGGCGGCAUCCUGGACCGGCAUUGACGCUGAGGCGCGAAAGCCAGGGGAGCAAACGGG